GAUCAGACAUCAUAUCGCCACGCUGUAAGAUUCAAAGGAAAAACAGGGUAACGUGGUAAGAUUCUUUUAAUGGAACAUGACGAGCUUUCAGGCAGCAACUGCCCUUCUUCAGGUCUUAUACAAGUGUAGACAAAGAAGUGCCAUAUUUAUAAGCAAAAAUAUUUACAUAUAUACGCGCAAGGACAUAAGGAAUUUUACAUACUGAAGAUUGGAAAGGGGAAUUUGCAUAUUUACAAAUAAAACAAACUCUGUGUGAGAAAUAGAGGCAAAAAACGGAGAUAAAAAUUAAACCUGAAGGCAAAACACGGAGAUAAAAAUUGAACCGAAAAAAACAAUAAAACCCAGGAACAUAUCAGCGAGUGAGGCCGUAAAAUAUUGUAUAUUGCGGUGGGAGAUCAAUCUUCCGGUUAAAACUGGGAGUACAGUUGGACACCAGUGCUUCCAGAACCAAGCGUUGGUACUUGUUUCCAAUAUCCCUGUAUACAGAAAUCGUAUCGUCUAAAUUGAAGGAAUGGUCGAAAUCUGCCAUGUGUUGAAAAAUGAGAGAUUUUCGAUCUUUGGAACGUAUAUUACGGUUGUGUUCGCGGAUUCUAGUGGCGAUGGUUCGACCAGUUUCACCAAUGUAGCAUUGCUCACAAUCGUUGCAUGAUAUUUUAUAGAUGCCGUUAUUGAGGGAUAGUGGGUUAAGUUUGAUGGAGCUUUUUGUUAUGGGGUGCCGUAAGGAUGCUUCUAGGGAAGGCGAAUUUUUGAAAAACGUGCGAAUACCGAAUUUUCGUAAAAAUAACGCAAUAUCAGAGUUCGUGGUCGAAAAAGGAAGGACACAGACGUUUUUAUACAGCGGAGUGUAACUUUUUUGUGGUUCGGAACGUAAAAAUGGCGGUCAAUAAAAUUUCGUGAAAUUUUAUAAUAUAAUAAUUUUCAAAUUCUCCCACAACGUGGAAAUAAACAAAAGGCAUUUUUAUAAUAUUUCACUUUGUAAUAAAAUAUUUUCUUCUAGAGAUAUUUUUAUAUCAAAGGCAUUUUCUUCGAGGCUUCAGGAAUCUUUAUAGUUUAUUAAGAUUAGUGUAUAUUCAUACAUAUUUAUGUAUACUUAUAUAUCUGUCUAAAAAUGACCGAAUUUAUUAUUUCAUUCAAAAGAAAAAAAUCAAAAUCAGUUGCUAAGCUAUAUAUAGAUCAGAUUAUUAAGCAAACGAAACAAAAUGCGUGGAUGUUUCAAGUUCUGCAAACUUUUCCGUCGGAACAAAAGGUAUUCAAUCAAACUGAUAUCAGAUCAUUUGUCUCAUGCUUAAUGUUGAAAAUAGAAGAUCAAUUUGACUACCAAAUAUUUAUACAAUGGUCGAAUUUAAUAGGGAAGUAAUAUUGUGAUAUGAGGGACUAAUAUAAUAAUUUUCAAUAUAAUUCCCUAAAGCUUAGGAAAUGUUUUAUAGAGAAUUAAAAUAUUUUUAUUCAUAUUUAUUAAAAUCUUAUACAUACAAAAUAGCUUGGUCUUCUAAUGUUUUCUUGUUAUCCAGGUAGUGUGUCCUGUGCUCCAAGAAUCCAGAUUGUAUAUAUUUAUAUAGCUUUGUAAAUAAUCAAUUACUAGUUGUUAGCUAUAUAUCGUGAUGUGGUUAAUAAAUAAUUUAUUCUCUAAAACUGUGCAAACUUUUUUUAAAACUAAAUAUAUUUUUAAAGAUUAUAAUUUUCGCAAGUUUAUUCAGUUUAAUCAGACGGAAAAUGUACUGUUAAAUUAAAAUAGUAUUUAUAAUUUUUAUAUGUUGAAAAUGUGUGUUAUUGCAAAUUUAUUCUUCAGUAAAAGGUUUUAUCAAACAUUCUAAAAAUAUAUAUUUUUUAAUAAAAUGUCCACACUAGUAUCGUUUUAUAUUAUUAAUUUUUAAAAAAUAUGUCACAAGAUUAUUUCCUUAAAAUAUUAUUUUAAUGAAUGAAAAUUUGGGUAUUCAUUUUAAAAGACUGUUUUAUCAAAAAACCCUUUAUUAAUAUAAUUAAAAAUUUUGAUUCUUUUCUUGGGUUGUUGAAUUAAAGAAAUAUAUAUAUACAAAUAUCUAAAAUGCCUUCCUAUUAAAAUAAAAAAUGUAUUUUUUUUUAAUAUUUGAAAGGUUUUUAAAUAAAUCAAAACGUAUAUAUAUUAAAUACCUAUAUGCAUAUAUUAGUGUAUAUUCAAAAUAUUGUUAAUAAAUAUGUGAAAACGAAUAUAUUUAAUAUCUUUUCAUGAAAAAUGUUUAAAAUAUCCGUUAAUAUUUCCCCAUAAAAUUAAAGUCACUCUCCAUCUUAGUUUUUUUUUUUUUUUUAAGAUGUACUUUUAAAUAGUACAAAUAUUAGAGAGAGAGGUAUAUUUGCCCAUAAAAUUUAAAAAUACAAAAAAAAAAUUAAGGAAUUAUAAAUAUUUUAUUUGACAUUUUGAAAAUAAUCAAUAAAAAUGAUCGUAUAAAAAAGAAUUAUAUUUUUAAAUAUUACCUACAUUUCAGGGGCAGAAGUGCAUAUCUAGGUAAAUAUUAUAUUAAUAUAUUUUUAAUUCUUGUAUUUUUUCUUUUUAGACAAUCAUCUAAAUGGCAUCGAUUUCAGGCUGUUUGAUUUAAAUAAAAACGCAUUUAUAAUUCUCAAAAAUGACAUCUGCGCGCCUACGCUUUAAUUUUGAAAAGAAGGUAUUUUUAGAAGUAUAUAUUAGUAUAAAUAUUUUAGUAAGUGAACGAGUUUUUUCAAGAUUUUCAAAAUUAGUUCACUUCAAUUAUUAAUGUUUAAAUUUUAAUAAGUUUUCAUUUUCUUUAUAUUUUCAAAAAUAGACACAUAUAUAAAAUAGAGGUUUUUUUUUCAAUGUUUUAUAUUCCAUAAUGUCGUAUUAUCUCCUGAGCCCAUUAAAAAAAAUAAUAUGUACCGUAUUGAUUCUUCAGAAUUAUUGAGGUUCUUUUUAUAAAGGAACAUAAAUAUUUUUCAAGUUAUAUAUUUUUAUAUUAGAUUUAUAUGUACCAAAAAUAUAUUUGUACCAAAAUUCCUCGCUCUUUGAAUAUGAAAAGGAAUAUGUGUCAGUUUUGGAACGAUGAAUAAAAUCCUUUCCCACAACUCUUUUAAUAUAUAUGUGAUUUCUAUAUUUAUCUAUCUAUGAAUUACGAUAUCGCUGAUGCACGGUAUCAACUAUGGAACGGUUGGGAGUUAAGGCUUGACUUUGAAGCGAUUAUUUAUGACCUCAAAGGUGGAAGAAAUGCUAAAUGUAAAGUUUUCUAUUUCGAAUCUCCUUGGAGUUAGAAGCUAAAAACUGUAACAAACAAUCAUUUAUAGAGAUGUAUCAGAGUUGCGAUGUACUUCACGCGGCUUCCGCAGUUUUCAAAGCCAACCUAUUUAUGACAGGAGUAAUUUGUAAUUCUGCCAAGUGAACACGGCGCCACGUUUAUGGAGUCAAUGUUUGAUGGUUACGAUUUAAUACCUGGGAGUUACAAAUUAUCAAAGUUCUAUAUAAAUAUUAAUUUGUUUUCAAUAUAAGUGAUUCAUUUAUUUUUAAACAUAAAUAUUGUAUAUAUUUGCUGUGUAAACGUUUGUAUACGUAUUAUAAUGGCUUUUAAUUUCAAAUAAAGCCAUAGUUUUGGACAUUUAAUUGAAUAUUUUUUAAUUUGUAGAUUUUAUGAGAGAUAUAUUUUCUUCACAAAUGAUGUGCUAAAUAUUUAAUUGUUAUUAAAUUACUGAAAUACACUCAUGGACAAAACAACGAAUUGGAAAGUCUUUGAUGCCGCCGGUCGUCUGUUUUUUUUUUUAAGGAAACAGAGGUAAUUUUGUUCACACUUGGUUAUCUCGUGUGUCUUCAAUAAAGGUCACUGUAAUAUCUUUCAGAGUUAUUGUCUGAAUCCCGAUAUACAUGGUAAAAGGUACAACUUCCUUAAGUUUUGUUCAUGAGUGUAUAUACAGAUAGAGAACAUUGAACAACCAAGCUAUGGAACAUGUAUGAUGAUUUUAAUAGAGGUAUAUUUUGUGUAUUUUUAUUUAUACAUAUAAUUAUAAUUAAUUAAUAAAAAUAAAUUGAUGAAUCAUUUCAAUGUCACAAUAUAAUAUGGUAACUUUUUUAUUGGCAUUUAAGUUGUCGUUCCCAGCUGAUUUCUACUUUAAUUUCGCAACCCUUAGCUUGACGAGUUUUUGAAGAGUUUAGAGCAGAGCAGUGUGUUAAAUCAAUGAAACCUGCUAUUCCAACAACUGAAUGUUGCUGAUGACCCACUGCUAUCUAUCAGAUCAUUUAAUAACAUUGACUAAAAUUAUAUACACUGCGUGACAUUGAAAAUGGAACACCAAGAAAUAGUGGCCAGAAAGUGAUGAAACUCGGCAGACAGAGAGAGACAGGGACGAACAAUAAGUGAUCUUUAUAUCAAAAUGAUAGUCAUAAUACAGAGCGAGAACGGCGUCGGCUUAGUGGCAAGUAGGACCACCGCGGACGGCGAUGCACGCAGCAACACGUCUAGGUAGAGAGUCAAUCAGAGUACGGAUGGCGUCCUGAGGGAUGGCUCUCCAUUCCCUCUCAACCAUUUGCCACAGUUCGUCUUCUGAACGCGGCUGUGGCAAGGUAUGCAAACGGCGUCCAAUGAUGUCCCAGACGUGCUCGAUUGGUGAGAGUUCAGGAGAGUACGGUGGCCAGGGAAGCAUCUGUACAUCUUACAGAGCUUGUUGGCUAAUGCGAGCAGUGUGCGGUCGGGCGUUAUCCUGCUGAUAAAGAGCAUUGGGUACCCCUUGAAGGUAGGGGAGUGUCACCGGUCGCAGCACAUCAUCAACGUAUCGUUGGGCCGUCAUAGUGCCCUGAAUACGAAGUAAAGGUGACCUGGAAUCAUACGCGAUUGCGCCCCAAACCAUGAUUACACGUUGUCGCACGGUGGGGCGUUCCACAAUUGCUGCCGGAUUGGACCUUUCUCCACGUCGACGCCACACGCGUACACGGCGACUAUCACUGGACAAGCAGAAACGCGACUCAUCUGAGAACACGACCCUGUGCCAUUCCGUCAUCCACGUCGAUCUAGCCCGGCACCAUUCCAAACGUUGGCGCCUAUUCGGUGGGGUCAAUGGCAGUCUUCUUAGCGGACGGCAUGAGUGCAAGCCAUUAGCAACCAAUCGACGGGAAAUGGUUCUGGUCGAGAUGGAUUGAUCUAGGGUGUCUUGCACAUGUUGCAGGAUGGCGGUACAAGUGGCUUGUGGGGCCGCCACUGCUUGUCGAAGGAUACGCCGAUCCACACGUGCUGACGUCACUCUGGUUGCACCGACAUUCCUAUAAAUUGCCACAUUUCCUUGUUCCAACCAUCUUCUCCACAGUCGGUGCACCGUGGACGCACCAAGGUGUGUAUCAGCUGCGAUUUGACGUAUGGACCAACCUGCCCUUUUCAGUCCGAUCACCAUGCCCCUCGUAAAAGCGUCUGUCUGCUUGAACUGCCUCCGUUUACGAUGACCUGGCAUUCUCUGUUAUUACACGUGUCUUUUGACACAAGAACAAAAUUUCUACAAUGAUUUUCCUUGAAGAAAUAACGACACGAAUACUGUCCUUUCUGCAAGUUCCUUCCCUUAUAUCUUACUCCAUGUGCGCACAAGAGCUGCGCAUUUUACAUCAUUUGCAUAACUCGGUUAGGCGCGUCUACCCUGAAAUUUGCAUAAUUUUCUGGCCACUAUUUCUUGGUGUUCCAUUUUCAAUGUCACGCAGUGUAUUUCCUAAUUUCAAAAACUAUAAAUAGGCAUUUAAUAAUUUGUAGUUUUUAUUAUUAUUUCUAUCUACAGUUUUGACAGGUCUGUAAGAUAGAGUAAACAGUGUAUGUAAAUAGGUGCUCGAAUUUCUCCGUCGCAUGUGGUGCUCUAGUAUGAUAUAAAAUACGGGAGGAAGGUAAUCAUGGAAGUGUGAACCACACUCAUAUUUAAAAAAUGCAUUAAAACAGGGAAUUUUUCAAUCUUCUACAAAAGACUCGGCGUAUAUUCUGCUAGAAGAGCUUUGAACGUCGAGCCAAGCCGUGGCCGUCAUCAGUACAGGUGCGUGUCGAUCGGCUGACAUCCUACACGAGAGGAGUUAUAGAAUCGGCCCAAUCUGAUCAAAAUGUCUGGUGAAGUAGUGCCAGAAUACAGGAUAAAAUGGCGGAAGGUUGGUAUGUACAUAAUUAAAGUGGGUACCUCUCCCUUUAAAACCAUAGAUUCAGGGUUUUUUCCGUCAAUUUGUCAAAGCUAGUGCUAUGGCAUAUUCACCGACAAGAGUCUGCGCCGUUGAAUCCCAUAAAAUGGACAAACUGCCACGUCGAAACAUUGCGAUCCCGGAUUUUAUUAUUUAAUGUAUUCUAAAUGUUCUGACUACGUUCUAUUCUCAACAUAUAUAGUGGUUCAAAGAUCUUUCUUUUAAUUUGUACUUAAUAGUACUGUCAUAUUCUAUUUACAAUUGUACUCAUCUUUUUUCAACGUAAAAUAUACAGUUGUUUAUAGAGAAAGAAUAUAAUCAUUUUCAUUCUAGAUGUUUUUCAUUAAAAUAUAAUUGAGGACGUGGAAGUGUGUAUGGAUUCGUAAGUACGUUUAAUCGCCACCAGAGAUAGACACGACAUAUCCAGCAAUAUACCCCAAUGUGGACGUAGAUGUGGAACCUGUGAAUUCGGGAGAGAGUGAAAGGAUCGCGCCAAACACCGUAUAAACUGGCAGAUUCAGAGAGAAGCUCCUGGGAUUCUGUUAGUCCCUGAACGUGUCAUUCAAGCCACGUCAAUAGGUUGUGUCCAUCCAUCCACAACAGGUUGUAGGAAGUCAACAAUCAGCAACGGUGGUGUCCUUGAGUGCUUGGCACAGGAACCAUGGAGCGAUAUUGUCGUAACUGGACCAGCGGAUGACACCUGGUGACUGUGGAAGGGCGGCGUACACUCUACCUGACGUCUUGUGGGGCCAUAGUUCAGCCACUGACACACCAUCUAUACAAUGCUGUACUUCUCACUAGAAAUCUCACCAGCCUGAGAGGAAAUAAAUUCAUUUCCUGGCUAUCAGCCUUGCUGAAACUUUCUUGCAUUUAAAUCCUGGGAGAAAUUGUCAGAUUUUAUUUUGAACGAGACCCUGAUAGAUAUACCAACGUUCCUACAAUUGUCAAAUAGUGUUUGUACUUACUUCUGUUUUUAAAGUGAUGAGGACAUCCAUAACGUUUAUUGGAGAUGAUAUGUUCAUCAAACACCUUAAUUCACAGUCCACGGCGCUGAGGUUCACCAGAUGAUUCUCCAUUUGAUUGCCCUGUAAAAAUGUCCGCCUCCAACCCUCCGAUGGCCUAUACAGAAAAACAUGUUUUAGACUCGUUCAUAACCGUCUAUGAAGGAAUGGUAUUUUCUGUUUAUGUCUACAGCGACUUCCCUACUUGGGGAUACUGGACAUUCAGUUGAUCUUCCCUCAUAAUAUUUGUAUAGAUGUCAGCUGAUUUUUUUUCAUAAUUUCCCAUUCUUUCAACUCUUGCAACAGGUUUUUCAUACACUUGAUAUGGCAGUAUCAUUCACAAGCGGCAAUAGGCUUUUCCAAUCUGAAGUUGCUUCAACGUGCUUCUAUGGGUAUCCGCCACUACUAUCCGUCGUAUCUGCACAGACGCUCAUCAGAUAAGCAUAGUUUUCUGCGUCUAUUUUGACUAGAGAGGUGACCUUUCUUUGUAAAUAUAGGAAGUAUGUUUUCUAGGUUCCCCCUCAUCCAAAUUUCAAUUCUUAUACCAAUGUUCCUCCUAGGUAUCUCAUCACUUUCUUCAUUGCAGUUCAGUGUAUCUGUCAGGACUACUGUGGUAGUUUGCAGACGAGUGUUAACAGCUAUGAACAUAAUCACUUCAAGGAUUUCUUUAUAGGGUGAUACAAAAAUGUUGUCAUCAACAGGAUUGCUCAAACUGAUUUUUUGGAACUUGGUGUUAAAGCGGGUUUACAGUUUUUUUAUUCAAUAUUUCUAUAAUAUUUGUCUCUUAUAGAAAAUUUGUUGUAAUGAAAUUCCCUCAUUGUUUUGUGGAAUGCCUUUGUUUUGUGAGCAAAGAAAGGGUUAAUAGGAGCGAGGUAAAACCCAAAUAGGGAGUGGUGACGUCAACGCCGAUGAUUUGCAAAGUCCAUCUAACAUGCCCACCUACUGUUAUAUAUCUCCGAGUGGCAAUGGCCUGAAUCUAGGAAAUAUCAAAGGCUAUCAUUGAUCCUCUCUUUGUUAGAAUGUGUCGACCUAGAGCUGCUAAGAGGACCAUGUUCUGUACUCUAUAAACAGUUGUCUGUUGAACAUUUUGAUGGGUUGUUAUUAUUAUUAUUAUUUUUUUUUUUUUUUUUUUGCAUUUUCCUGUUUCUCCUACUUCUUCCAUUCCUUUAGUUAGCUCUUGUCUACGCGCAUUCCUUUACGUUUAUUCCAUUUCAAUAUUUUAUGUAAACUCUGAUCCCUAUUAAAUUGUAUGUAGUUCUACAAGCAGGAUAUAUAUAUAUAUUAAAUGUGUAUGUUAUAUAAAUUUUGACACUAUACCACUACUCCUGUAAUGUUCCAGAUUCCACAAAGCUAACAGGCUGUGUGUGUGCAGGGCCAAGACCAGAGGCAAAGUUGAUAUAGGCACACAGACAGACCCUCCACCAAUCAUUUUCCAGGCCCUCGAUCCCCCCGAACUUUUUGACAACCCUCAAGGCUACAUCAACAAUGACCUUUUCUUACAGUCCGCACAUCAAAUGUCCCUUCCCAAUUCCUCAUUUUCCCUCGAUUUACCCCUAUUUUUCCCCUGCCCCCAAUACGAGUUUCUCCUUCCACCCCUAGCUUUCGAAAAUUCUUCUUCCGCUCCCUGUUUUCCCAGGCCCGCAUCCCCCCUGCCCCGCGAUCCCGUGCAGCUGCGACUGCGGCUUCACGGGAACGCGGAGCCGGGGUCCCGUUAGGAAUACUAACCCCCGUUUCUGUAGUUACUAACCCACACCCUCUGGUCUUCAAAAUUCUAUAGUCACGUUCCCCUGUAUCCCCCUUUCAAAAUUUUGACAGUUUUUUUUAUAACCAUCAUUUUAUAAGUGUCAUAAAUAAGCCUAACUAACCACCUCCACUCGAUGUGGAAGAUCAAAGGUGAGAUUAACGCAGUAACUGAAUUACUGCCAGUUGCCAGAGAUCAGGUAACUUGGGUCUCAGCAGCGAUUUAUCGGGGUGAAAGAGACAACCACGGUAUAUCUAAUCCCAUUCCGUUCAAAUCACUCAAAACGCUUCAAUACGCCCCAGAAUAAAUUUUAAAUAUAACAAUCGCGAGAUGUUUAGCUUGCAGUAAAAUACAGUGUUUCGAGAAAAAAAAUACUCUAAAGCACUGUAUUCAUUCGUAAAAUGUACUCUAGGUUCACACUGUGUUUUACAUAUCAUAAAAUAUAAUUUUAAAAUAGGUUGAACUAAUCACUCAGAGGAGUCAACAAAUAUAUUUUUCUAAAUGUUUCUGUUUUCCUAGAUUAACUUUACAAUAACGAAGCCUAAAAACAAUAUUGUACAGACAGAAGCAGGCCGAGCAGUAAUUGCGGGGUACUUGAUAAAACCGCAACACGAUUGGUGCCUAGUCUUUACUUUUGACACUGUGGCGCCGAAGACGGUUCCCGACAUCAGACCCAGUCAACUCUGCUAGAUCCACUGUUAAAUUGGGAGUUGGCGGUAGUUGGAGAGAUGAAGUUUUAAUUGUUUUCAGCUCUGAGGCAUCUUUGUUGUCUGCAAAGAUAUAAAGAUGUUUAUGAACAAAUUUUAAAAUAGGGUUAAUUUUAUGUGUCGGACCUCUUGAAUCUGAAAGGCUAACUAGGUGAAAACUGGCUUUGAAGGCAUAUCGGGGUUUUAAGUAAAAGUUAUCCUAUUGACUUAAACACAGCCCAUCUACUAUCUUGGCGAAUGCUAAACGAUUCUUGUUGAAAUCUCUUAAAACUUUAAUAUGUUGCGGCCAUUAUAUAUGCGAAUAUAUAUAUUUCAUUAACAUAAAAUUUGGAGACAAUGUGCGUGUAAACUUCCCUAGAGACAAUCAUG
rnacentral:piRNA from 1 species